GGCUGGGGUUGGGGGAGGGGGCUGGCGAGACCGGGAGAACUUGGCUGGCUGGCUGACUGAAUGGGGAUACUUGGUAUGGUGGCUGUUCUUGCCAGGACAAUAGCUGGCUGACAAAAUCAGGCUCAGGCCUUUCUGACUUGAGAGAAGCCUGCGUGGAGUUUUAGGUAGGUCCAGUGUGGGCCUCAGAUGACUUGGGUGGAUCAGACCUGCUGCCUGCCCUUAUGAAGCCCAUGAUCCGCUACUAACCUGUGGGCCUGGAAGUCAUGCACCUGCAUCCGGAUCCCUCUAGGACUUGUGAAAUGUAGGUCCCAAGGCCUACUCUCUGCAAAUAUAAAGCUGAGAAAUCUCCAGGAGGCUAGGGAGAUGGUCUCAAUGGAUAAGAACACUUGCUCCGCAAGCACAAAGACCUGAGUUCAAAUCCAUAGCAACCACGG
rnacentral:lncRNA from 1 species